AGUGAACGCUGGCGGUAGGCCUAACACAUGCAAGUCGAACGGCAGCACAGUAAGAGCUUGCUCUUACGGGUGGCGAGUGGCGGACGGGUGAGGAAUACAUCGGAAUCUACUUUUUCGUGGGGGAUAACGUAGGGAAACUUGCGCUAAUACCGCAUACGACCUACGGGUGAAAGCAGGGGAUCUUCGGACCUUGCGCGAUUGAAUGAGCCGAUGUCGGAUUAGCUAGUUGGCGGGGUAAAGGCCCACCAAGGCGACGAUCCGUAGCUGGUCUGAGAGGAUGAUCAGCCAACCUGGAACUGAGACACGGUCCAGGCUCCUACGGGAGGCAGCAAUGGGGAAUAUGGGACAAUGGGCGCAAGCCUGAUCCAGCCAUACCGCGUGGGUGAAGAAGGCCUUCGGGUUGUAAAGCCCUUUUGUUGGGAAAGAAAAGCAGCAGGUUAAUACCCCGCUGUUCUGACGGUACCCAAAGAAUAAGCACCGGCUAACUUCGUG
rnacentral:rRNA from 1 species